UCAGCAUCCCAACCAUAUCUGCAACAGAAGCGACAGAGAUAGAAAGACGAAAAGAGAGUCACAAAUCGGAGUGACAUGAUGGGUAAAUGAUACGGCAACGAAAAGAAGCGAAAACUAUAAAAAAAUCCAGACUUCUCUC